UGACUUGCUGCAAACCUCUAGCAUCUGCAUCAUGUUGCAGCACUGGGAUCUGCAGUAGAGCUAAGCAUUUCUUGAAUAACUGCUCUGCUUCUGCAUGCCUUCAUGUUUUCUUUCAAGAUAUCUUCCAGAGAAAUCUGAAAAUGUAGAUGACAAGAAAAAUCUGCCAGUGGCUAAAGAAUGAGUCUAGCAGAGGUGAGAGUCAGCUGGAGGAAAAGUGCAGGGUGCUCAGUUCAGGGUUGCUGUGUCUCUAGGUGAUGAAGCCCACAACUAGCUUUUAGGGUCUGCUGCGGAGAGGACAGUGGUGGCUGGAGAAGUGAGGCCCCCAGGUCCAUCCUUCCUGCUCAGUGUCAGUAAUUUUGGGGGACUGGCCCAAUUUAGGGAUUUGUCUGUGAGGUAGGGGCACCAGAAUGCACUGGUCAGUACAAGAAACUGUUGGUAUGGGCUGGACAACUCGAACCAGUGGCAGGAGCAUGGAGAGGAGGUAAGCACCUCUCCCCCAGACAACACCUCGUGCCAUCCUCCCCUCAGGGGCUGCCCCUUCUUCUGCUCUUUGCAAGCUUAUCUCAGGUAUUGGGUAGUGCAAGCUCGUCUCGGGUAUCGUAGGGCCUCCCCACAGCUCAAGUGCAUUUUGACUUACUCAGCACGUCUCGUGAUUUUACUUAGAUCCCUCAGGACCCUGUGAGGUCUAAGCCUGAGCACUCUUUAUUUUCUUGGCUGAACCAGAAACUUUCAAAAUUGCUUUCAUCUAAACAGCAUUUUUGCUGUGUGUGCGCAUCUGGGAGGGAAGUGCUCUUUUCUUUGGGAGAUGCUAAUAACUCACUGAUGAAGAGUGCCAGAAAGCUAUCCCAUGCGCUGACAAAGAACAAUAGGAAGACACAACCAUUUUGAAACCUGCGGCAACGUCCUCCAGCCACAAGUGGAAGGGCUGAGGAGGGGCUGGUUGGCCCCAUAGCAUGCAGAGAUGGACAGGGCCCCAUUGAUAGGCCAUGCCAACAGGCCUGGUCCAUGUGUGUUGUGCUGGGAACAAGCAGGGGGAGAGCCCAGAAAACAGCUUCUGGUGGGUGUUGGGGUCAGGGCUGGGGUAGGCCUCUGUGCUGGGGAACUCCAGUUCGUAGGCAAUUAACCCUGGUUGGCAAAUGAAACACAGCUCUGCAGGCUCUUUAACACACAGCUGUCUUCCAGUGCAUAUUUUCCUUCUCUUUUCUAAUGUCCAACAACUGUGCUGUAACCUCUGCCCAGAUGGAGAAGGCAUUUCAGGCCAAACAGAAAGUCGCUCUCCAGUUUCAAGCAGGUUCUCAGCAGUAUGAGAGCAGUACCUGUGGGGUUCAGCGUGACAGGAGAGGCAAGGUUGCCUGUGGUGGUGGCUGCAGGGUUAUCAAGAAUGCUUCCAGGACUGCCAGAAGCUGAUCUGCCUUCUUUAUUGCCCACAGACAUAGUUCUGUGCUGUCUGUUGCUGAUGAAUAGAAAGCUGCUGGUACUGGCAAUGCAACCAUUGUAUUGAAUGAGGUUAACAUCCCCCUUUCAUGCCCAGCACCCUAGGCCAUUUGCUCCAUUCCUCCUGGCUGCUUCACCCCAACUGAAGGAAAGGCUGUGGUACAUCAGGACAGGAGCUACCUCUAGCCCCAGAUCCUAUCUCCACCAGUGGGUGACAGGUGCCCACAGGAAAAUUUAAGUUCGAGGCAGGCAUGUAGCCAUACUUUCCCCCAAAUGCUCUUCAUGCCUCUAGCAAAUUUUAUCUUGAGGAUCUCCUGCGUCAAGAUUUGGUAUCUAUACGUAUUAAGCCUGGAUGAAUUCCUCCUUCAGUAAUUAUACCAUUAUUUUUUAAACCUGUGUAAACCUUUAGCAUCUGCAACAACUUGUGGCAAGUAUUCCCACAGCUGAAAUGAAUGUUGUUUGAAGGAGGAGCUCCUUUUCCUUGCUUUGAACUCAUCACGAUAGCUUUAUUUAAUGAGUGAGGCUCAGAUGUUCUCCCACUGCUUGCUUGAUCACCUCAAAUGUUUCUGUCAGUUCUGCUGAUUUUCCUCAAUGUUCCUCAGAAAACUAGCUCUGAAAACAGACUGCCUUUACAGGUGGCUGUGGGAUUUGGUUAAAAAACCAAAAGUUCUGGGCAUGUGAGAAGGGUCUGCUUUCUGCAUACUUCCGCUGAAAAAAGCAAGUGAAAGCCACCUGUUUUACCCAUCAAGGCCCAUGGGAGCUAUCCCCUUCAAUAAUCUUUCUUGGAAAUAACUUGGGAGCCUGUAGUCGCACCUCCUCCUUCGAGGGAGCUACUGUUCCCUCGCCACAGGGAAGAGGAGGGUGAGGAGCUGCCGAGAGCAAGGUGGGUGGCACUGCACAGGGGAGGUGCGGGGAGGUGAUGCGCACAGAUAAUCAGAGUGCACUGCAGCCACCUGCAGUCCCUGGAGGGGGGAGACAGAGAGGAGAGGGACAGGAGGGAGUCCCUCCGAUCUGCAGCCAUGCAGGGGCUGGUAAAGACAGCAGGGAGAUGCUGCUGGGGCACAGAGAUGAGUCCACCGUCUGAUGGGCUUAUAUCACUUGCUCUUCCCCAUGACUUGCACACACAGAUGUGAAAUCCAGCUCUGCUGAGCGUGCCACAAAAACCAUUGCUAACAAAUAUUCCUCUCCUUUGUAGCAUCCGGAGCAGGGUCCUGCCUCUAUAACUUCUGCAGAUGCGGAGCAGUGAUUUCAAACUCAUCAGGAGGGCCCUUUUGAAUUUCAAGUUGGUUCACGGAAACAUGAGAGAGUGAAAUCUGAAUGUUCACACGGAGAUAAAAAAUCUGCAGAAGUUCGAGCGCUGCAACCAGUGGCACAGGACAAGGCAAUCAGAUGCUGCUGACACAUGUCAUCUGCUUCUGUCAGACUGGGACCAUUCAGCCAUGCCUGAAAUAGGAUAUGAGGCAGAAGAGCACAUGAAAAAGAGAAGCUAAGGACAGGGCUGGAUGAGUGGCUCCUGUUCCACGGGAUGAAUCUAUUCCAUGCGCUAGCCAUCUGCAAGCAGAAUUUCAACUGGAGGAUCUGUGGCACUCAUGGGACAAUGUAUGGAAAAGGAAGCUACAUUGCCAGAGAUGCCAGUUGCUCUUAUCGGUACUGCCCAUCCAGCACAGGCUACCACAGCAUGUUUGUAACUUUAGCUGUUGUUGGAGACUUUGUUCAUGGCAGCAAGGCCUACCUUUGCCCUCCCUCCAGACCUGAGAUUUCAAACAGACUUUCGGACAGCUGUGUAGACAAUCAAAAAAAUCCUUCAAUUUUUGUCAUCUUUGAGAAGAACCAGAUUUAUCCUGCCUAUAUCCUGGAGUAUACUUGUAGAAUGCUUUCAGAGGUAAUGAUAGGUUGUCUGAAAAAUACACUUGAACCAUAUGUGUUGUGUUUUUUUUUGAACUCUAUGUUGCAUGUAAAUACCUUAUAGGUGACUUUCAGAUACACUUCAGUUCUGUUUCAGUUGCAAGAGUGAAACUACAAGGACGGUGACCUAUGGAAUGGCUGGGUCCUCUAUGAGCGUUGUUUUCUUCCUAAACAGACUGGUGGCAGUUAAGUUGUAGUAAAUAAUAUAACCAUGACAAUGUGAUGAUGAUUUGGAUGCAAGUGUGAUGUAAAUUUAAAUGUGCGUUAUGAUUAAUUUAUAAAACUAAUUGCUUCCAUGUACAAUAUGAUACAUAACUAGAUGUUAUUUAGGACAUGCUUGGGGAAAUGAAUACAGAAAACAGGGAAAAUAGAGUAUAAAAAAGCAUGUUUGAGGAGUGACUCGCUGAAGUUGUUUUUCCACAGAGCGAAGAUCAUCAGCAUCUUGUCAGUGUAGGAAAAGCAGACAAUGGGCUCUGAGCUGUUUUUGUCCUGUGGUUUGGCUGCUUUGAGUUUUGUGGGAAGAAAAGGCUUUUAGAUCAUAUCCUAAAGGAGAGUUACAUGAUGUUCCCUAAUUUCUCCACUAGUCCCAUUUGGUUAUCUUGCACUAAGAGUCAGAAGGGCUCCAAUUCAGACAGGAAAAAAAAUUCCUGGAUAACAAAGAAGCAAGUGAUUCAUUGGCCUUCUUCAGUUUGCCUUGACUGCUGCUAAAGCUGGAGUAUGCAACGUACUGGGCAGCUUGUGAAGGGUCCCGUCUUCACUUAGCACCUCUGAUAGAAAGGGUAGAUGCCACAGGCUAUUCUGAAGUCCAGUCAUACCACAAAUCAGAACAACAGUAAUUUCCUGCUCCUCUAGAAACAGCUAAGUUGUUAUUAUGAGCUGUUUGUGCCCUCCUGGAGUGCAGGCUGGGCUGGGUGCUGCUUUAAGGGGAUUACACAACCUCCCCAAACUUGGAGGAGGCAUGUAAAAGGUUCCCUGGAUUCACACCAGGAUGUCGUAGUGGAUUUCUGCCCUGUGUUGCCACAUAGGUGUACAGAAGCCUGCUAUGUGCCUGGCUGUCCUGUGCUGAUGGCAGCGCUGACACGUUUGGGUGUUAAACUGGGGCUGGGAGAGAGCAGAGGGGUGGUGCCAUCUCAGGCAGAUGUUGCUCCGUUUUUGCUCUGGGUUGAGGGAAGAGCAGGCUCUCCUAUGCUUGCUUGGGAAUUGGAAGCAGCUCCCUUGUGGUGCCAGCCCUUUCUCUCCGAAAUCCUCUGUGAGUCCCUGUGGCUCCUGUAGGAUGAGGAGAGCUCCAGCAGGCCCAUAAAAAAACAGGAGGUGGAGGAUACAUUGGAAGGGGUGACACAUCCAGUUAGUAUAAAGACUUCUCUUUUAUCUCUAUUUCUCCAAUAAUCAGCCUACCAAAUCCAGACCUGUUCUGGCUCCCUCAAACCACCAGUACUGCUAGGUAUUUUUGGGAUUUGCUGGGAUGUAGGCCCUUUUCAUUAAGGGGUUAUCAAAUCUCGUAUUCUGUAACCCUGAAGCGUUCCUGUCUGUUUGGUUAGUGAAACCUGGUUACAUUAAUCCCGCUGAUAAGACCUGGUGUAUGAAUUUCAUUUCUGCAUAAUGAUCUGAGGGUCCCAUUUUAUUGAAUGUCUAGUUCCCAAUUCAGGGGUAGAGGUGCACAUGUGUGGGUGUGUCUGAGACGGCCUCUUGCCAUGGCUGGGUACAAAUAUUUGCCCUGUAAUGCAGAACACCCCUACGGGUUUCAAAUGAGCUACUUCCUGUCUCUCAGACAUAGAAGUCUGCCGCUAUACUUUUUGUGGAAACCACAUAUCCGAUUCCCAGUUUAACAAAGACACCCUGCAUCAACAGGCUUGUAACAGAGCAAACACUGUUAGUUAAAUCACAUACAGGUAAACAGCCCGCAUCAUUCCUGCUCUGUUCUUAAACCUCAUAGCUCAAAACCCAGUCACCUUAUUUCAUAUUUUUUAAAGGUUAGAAGGAAGAUGACUAUACUUUAAUUUCAAAAAAUGCUAUUGCUUAGAGCUUUUUGUAUUUUUGAAUGCUUGCAGAUUUGUUUGCUAACAAAUGCUGGUGAACUGAAUGCAAUGUCUUGUCUUGCUGUUUGCUGUGUGUCUUCCUCAGCUCUCCAGCAAGCUUUCACAUCAGGGCUGCCACACCAUGAAAGCAUCCUGCCCCUUCAGGUGAUUGAGUCUCAAGGGAAAAGCACCCUGGAGCACUGUUCUAAACUUACUCUAUUUCAAUUCAAUUAUCAUGUGAUAAAGGGAAACUGUGACGAGAGUCCAUUGAGCGGCAGGAGGAAAUGAAGGAGAGGAUGGACUUUGACCAGUACAGGGGAAUUCCUGCUGGCCAUGGACAGCACCAGCUGGCUGUAGUGUACUUACUGGAAGGGGUUUUGAUGUCUGCCAAGUAGAUAAGCUGAUCUCUAAGCCUCCAGAAAGCCCCAUGUGGCUUAAACUGAAUACUUAUUUACUCACCCCACAAAUAAACACACUAUAUCGCUAUACACAGGGAGAAGUGUGUGAUAAAUGUAGUUCUCCUCACUGGCUGGGAUUUAUAACUCUUACGGGAAGUAACGACUUUUGGUUCCUGCAGGUCUAAAUAAGGGUCCAUGGGAAAUGUUCCAGUUUAGUAUUGGUUGUUGUAGGCUGUUCUGGCGAUAGGAAGCAAUGGCUAAUUGAUACUGAAUCCAAAGGUGGUUGCAGAAGGGCUGCUGACAGUCAGGUAGUAUUCUCAGACAUCAGUGUCUGCUUUCUCUGCUUGGGCCAAGCCUUCCCAUUUCUGCAUUAACUCUUGCAUUGAGGCUGUCCAAGUUGUUUUCUUGCAGAAAACUUUGCCCAAUGAGGCUUCUAACACAAUCACGUAACAAACACUGGCUGUAAUAUAUUUUUCAUUAGCAAUCAUCAUGUUCCAGUGGGGUAGGUAGAUUUUCUCUCUAAGUGAAAAGUGUUUGAAGGAAAUGCUGUUGAGAGGCACAGUAAUAGCUAGCUGCUAUAUCAGUGUGGAGGACAGGGUGGCAGGUUUUUGUUGGAGGAGGACUAGGUUUCUGUGGGAUUAGCUCAUAGAUGUCAUAUGGGAAGGGGGAGCAGCAGUAUUUAAGGAAGGAUGAAACCAAGAGUUUGUUUUGGUUUUGAAUUAGAAACCAGAGGAGGAAACGAGCCUGAGGGCAAGGCUGGGGCUGCAGAUCUGGUCAGGUACUCAUCCAGAAAGCCAAACCACUGUAGGGUCAGCAAAAUCCCUUGAGGCUGCAGAGUGCUCACAGCUGGAAAUGAAGCCAAGGUUUUCCUCCUAAUCAGUGACUUACAGAAUGGGCUUCUUGCCCGUGCUCUUUUCCCUGGCCUCACAAGGUGGCAGAGUGCUGCAGCUCCCGUAGGUAUUUGGUGGUUUGCAGGCAUUUGAUGGUUUGAGAAAGAAGGAAGGAUUGCCUCACAGCUAAGUAUUAAGUACUGGUUCUAGUUUUAAAACAAUUUCUGGGACAGUGCAAAGCUUGAUUCCGGUUGCAUCCUUUCAUUGCCAUUUAUUUCCUGUCUUUGGCCUCAAAAUAGCAGAAGUCAGUGCCCACCCAGAGCUGUGGGCACCCGCUGCCUUCCAGUCAGGUCACACACCCAGCAGCUCAAAUUACGCCUGGCUCCUCAGUGGCUGCUCAAGCUACCAAAUGCUGUCAGCCUACUUCUGCCCAUGGAAAGAAUCCUCCAUGGUCCGCAGACCCUCAGAGGCCCCUGUAAACACAAAGAGCUGUAACGAUAGCACUUCUUUUGGAAGAUGGUAUGCAAAAUGUUAACCUCUAACAUAGACAACUGCUAUACCAUUUAGGACCUUCAAAACUAAGACCACUCAAAACAUCCCAGCUAUAAAUCCUGUUGAUGUGAUAAAUAGGAAAGACCUCUGUCAAUACCUAAAUACCAGCUGCCAAGUCUACUCAGCCCCAGCAACAUAAGGUGGCAUAUUCAGCUCCUCAGAUGACAAAAGCAUGACCCAGGAACCAUGAAAUGGCAGCCCAAAAUAAAGGCUGCCUACUCCCCAUGGCCAAAAGCAAGAGGAAGCUGCCUUUGGCCACUGCUGGAACAGGGGGGAAGCCAGGUUGGGUUCCCAAGAUGUGGCCACAGGUGGAUGCACAUCCCUGUCAGUGGGGCAGCAGUAAAUGUCACCAUCUUCUAGCUGGCCAGUGGCAGUGGGACUCCGGACAAAGUGCUAGAGAUUAAGAAAGCAGGAGCCGUGAGUCACCCAGGCUGCCAUCGGGGUAAGUAAAUGUUGUUGUGAAAUGUUUGGACAACCCCCCAAAAAAUGGUUCCUAGUCUCAUUAAUAUGGGAUUCUUAGGCAUAAAAGGACAGGUGGCCUGAUUCUGAACAUUAAACAGAUGUUUCUUGUAGGGAAAAGCCUCCGAGAGAGUGGUUGCUAGCAUUUACUGACCAUAGGAUAAGAGGUUCCUCAUCUGUUGCCACCUGAAGCCCUAGAGUUGGGAGUGUGUCACAGGGCUCAUGUUGUAGUGUCACUUCUCUAGCACUGAGUAUAGCUUGGCAGUUCAAAAUAUAGAUUAAAGCAAUUAAAAUUCCCUUUGAAAUGCAUAUGAAAAUAAUAAAGGUACUCGAGGAACAGGAAAGCAAGGCAGAAUGUGAAAGAAUGCCAGUGGGCUUUCAGGAUUCACUUUUUGGUCUUCAAAUCAACAUUUAUUUAUUUAUUUAUUUUUUAACAACAUGCCUCAACCCCAAAUCCAGAUGGUCAACAGUUCCCUAAUUAUCUGCUAUAGCCAGGUGGGAGCCAGAGCAUGGUAAAGGUAAUGUAAUAUUAUUCCUUUCUAAUUUUAUUAAGAUUUAUUAUCAAAUACUCUGUUGCUUAAAAUAAAAUGACAACUCUGGUCCAUCUUUUCAUCUCAGAGAAAGUUAACUGCUCAGACUGAAGUUAAGCUCCAGCAAUUGAGUCUUGUGCUUUCUAUUAAAGUACAAUUCAAAUCCGUGAGCUUUAUACAGAAAGGAGCAACGCUAAAUCCCCUUAGCACUCUGCCCCCUCAAAAUCACCAGUGGGUUAGAAAACUGACUCAGAUGUUGGGUUUUUCACAGAAAGUUGACUCAGAUGAAAUCGUUAAAUGUCAAAGCCUUUGUCAGGAUGCUGUCAACGUGAGUAGUUCCAAUUAGUUUGGUUAGUGCACUAUUACAGCUUCUCAUCUACCAGUAUUAAAAUGUAGGUGUUGACAUGGCCACCCCUGAUAGCACUGGCAUGAAAUGUUCUUUGAAGAAAAAGGGUGGAUCUGCAAAAUGGAAAUUUACAGUAGCAAAUUUUAGAUUUUCAACAGCUCCUGCUCCUCACUCCCCCCCGCCCUCCCCCCAAGUUUUCAGGAAAUUAGAAAUUUUUUAAAGCCUACAUUGAAGGAAAACAAACAAACAAACAAGAGUUUCUUGAGUCAACAAGAAAUAUUUAGUUGCAUUGGUGCUUUCUGCUGUUUUAUACAAAUUUGCUUUGCUGUCAAAUGAGAGUUUCUCAAGUGGGUAUAUUGUAAUAUGAGGAAAAAACAAUAUCUGUUUCCCAGGAGGUGCAGGGACUAUAAGGACAAACACCUAAGAUAAGAUAAGCAAAACAAUCUAAAUGUCAAUAUUUAGAUUUUGGAAAAUGAAACUCUGUCAAACACACAAGAGUACGUUAAAUGCUCCUUCAAUACCUUAAAUAUAUCCAUAAUAUCUACUUCUUUGAAGUGCACACCUUGGUCUGUACUGUGGUUUGGAUUGGUUCAUCGUUCAGAAAUAUUGAAUAUUGCCUGGAGCGGAGGCUGGGAUUUGAUUGACCAGUGUGCAGGGUUGAUAUAAAUCUCAAAUCCCUUUAAUAGCUCUGGGAUCUGAUCAUGGGAGAUGAUCAUAAUGAUCAUCUGAUCAUUAGUUUGCUUUUGUGAAUACAUUUAAUUUUCUAUCUUCUCCCAUUUUUCCAAUAGGUCUGUCUGUCUUUAGUGUAAAUUUUGUCUGUAACUUGUUCCUCUCUUGUGUAGGGUGCAAAGGUGUCUUUUUACACAACUUUUGCUACAGCAUCAUUAUUAUCAGAAAGAAAAGAAAGAACGUAUAUUAAACAUACAUUAAAAAAAACUGUCAAAAGGCAUUUGAAUGUCUUACAAAAAUAUUGCAAUUUGUUAAUUAUGAAUUAAUUUUAAACACAUUUAUUUAGGUAAGUUAUGAAAUUGGUUUUGUUUGGUAGUAGCAUAUAUAAAUGUGGAACCCUUUAACCCUGACUGGGCAAAAUACCUUUCAUCUGAAAAAAUCGAUCACUGAAAUUUUUUCCCAUUCUUGUAACCAGAUGUUUAACAACAUGCAGACCUUAAUGAAUGCCAUACACAAAUGUUUGUCUUUAUAUAGCAACAAGUCUGCCUGUCAGUGAAAUUGUUUCUGUUUCCCCACAUUGGUCCUUGAGUUCACGCUGUGCAGACGGGGUGAGCAGAUGACAGCACACGGAAAUACUCCCAUUUAUUGAGACUGGGGAUUACCAUCUGGUUUUCUGCUUCUGCUAGAAAUUGAGUCCUAAUAAUAGUAGUGUGUGUGUGCUCAAAACAAAAACAACAUGAUAUCCUUUCUCCAGCUGAGCAGGUCUGUUUUUUUUUUUUUUUAAUUAAUUGUUUUCAAAUACUCAAUUCCUUCUAGGAGAACCUCUGCUCUUUGCCUUAUUAAUUGCUCAUAUUUUUUCAGAGCUGAGUGAGAACAAGUCCUGUGGCUUAGGUCACGCUCAGCUGGAUCUUAUUUAUUAACGCUCCUGGCAAACAAAUUAGCAAGUACCCCCUUACUGCAUGAAUUAACGAGAAUUCCCAGCUCACCAUACGUUUAUUGAGCUAAUAGAUGUAUUUGCUUUGGUUUUCUUAAUGCGCGCUAGGCUCGCAGAAGUGAUACUGCUGAUCUGAAUUCCUCUGUGUGCUGUGGAAAUACUGCUCUGACCACUUCACUUACAAUUCAUGUCAGCUGCUUAGCAACAGUAGCAAUAGUCCAUCAAACCUCCGGAGGGGAUUGAAAACUCAGUCGUUCAUGCUUGAUGUCCAUACCAGACACACUUUAGUAGCUACUGAUGCUUCUGGUUGCAAUGUACUUUAAAAACAAACGAGAUGACUUUUGUGUUUCAAAAAGCCUAACCUGUAAGGCAUUUAGUGUAUUUUCCAUGUCAGGGGCAUGUUUUGGAUUUCAUUAUCUUAGCACAGUACCAUUCCUUUUCUUUUAGCUGCUCUCUGAACAUUAAAAAUCAGACCCUUUCUUGCCUUCCUCCCUCCCACCAUGGCUUUAACGUCAGUAUUUCUUUACCACUAAAAAUAUUAAUUUUACUAGACUUAUUCUAAAAUUGUGUAUCCAGUGGUAGGCACUCUUUUUUCCUGAACAACUUUAAGAAAAUGUGUAUGUAGAUAUGCACACAUAUGGUGGGACUGUGAGCAAACGUUAACAAAAAAAUUUAUUUUAGCCAAAUGAAAUCUGAGCAUCUUUGAUUUCCAGUUUUGUUAGCAAAAAUAUAUAUAUUUAGUGAUAUGUUAGGAUGUCACGUUUGCGUGUGAAUGAACCUGAGAGCAUAAGAGAACUAAGAAUAAAUCUUGAGAUAAAGGGAUAAGACAAAAUACAGAAGGUAACUCAUUUCCUUCAAAACCUAAAAAGAAGGGACUGGAACAUGUAAUUACAUGGAGUAAGACUACUUAUAUGUGUUUUUCAAACACCCUUAAUGUCUUAGGUUUCUCUAUUUGAAUAAAUGAGUGAAUAUUCAAAGAUGAGUAAGGGGACUGUGACAUCUACUCCUUAGCCUGGUUUUGGAAGCUGAAAUUUUGUUUACAGCUUCAGGACAUUGGAGGAGUAUUUCCCAUCCAAGGCCCUCCCUUUACUCCUCCAUCUUUCCCAGAAAAUGUUGGGAUUCCCAGAAUAAAUUCAUAUUCAUAAAUGCGGAGCAGCUCUCACAAUGCAGGCAUCUGCCUGCAGCUGAGUUUCUUGGUCAGAGGCUGAUCCGUGGCUCUCUUUCACAGCAAAGCAGGAGCUCUCUUUGCAGACUUGCCCAGCCAUAGCACUCCUGUGGGAACAGCACAGGUUUUCUGGAGAAAACUCAGCAGGGCUGCACACAAACCAGGGUAUGAAGCCAGGUGGCAGGUGGACCUUGCUUCCUUCAGCUGGGGACAGUGAAUGCCACAGUCACACUACGGAAGAUCUCUGGGCCAGACUUUGUUCUGAAAGCCAAGCGAAAAAAAAACCUGAGGCAGCAUCCAACAACCCUCCUCCUUGUUUUGGCACAGGCAAUAGGGCCUUGCAGGUAUGUUUGGAAGGAAAACCCCUAGCUACAUGGGUCAUUAGGGAGGCUGAGUGGGAAGGGCUGGUUGUUCCCAUACAUCUUUGUAUGGCUCCUACCCCUGGUAUGUGCAUCGGCAGACGGAAACCACCCCCAGGUCCUUUCUGCCAUUCAAUUCCCCUGGUGCCUCCCCUGCCUCUCUGCAGCCAUCAGUUUGUUUCCUGGAAGCAGGAGCAAGAGAGUACACCACAGGGUUGUCCUGCUGCAGUGCAUCUCACGGAAAAAGAAGAUUAAGGCAAAGCAGACGACAAUAAUUGCAAAAUAACCCUGCUCUGGAAUCAGGCAAACUGCCAGAGAACUCUUAUGCAAAAAAAAAAAAAA